AUUGAACGCUGGCGGAAUGCUUUACACAUGCAAGUCGAACGGCAGCACGGGGGCAACCCUGGUGGCGAGUGGCGAACGGGUGAGUAAUACAUCGGAACGUGCCCAGUCGUGGGGGAUAACGCAGCGAAAGCUGUGCUAAUACCGCAUACGAUCUAUGGAUGAAAGCGGGGGACCGUAAGGCCUCGCGCGAUUGGAGCGGCCGAUGGCAGAUUAGGUAGGUGGUGGGGUAAAGGCUCACCAAGCCGACGAUCUGUAGCUGGUCUGAGAGGACGACCAGCCACACUGGGACUGGGACACGGCCCAGACUCCUACGGGAGGCAGCAGUGGGGAAUUUUGGACAAUGGGCGCAAGCCUGAUCCAGCCAUUCCGCGUGCAGGAUGAAGGCCCUCGGGUUGUAAACUGCUUUUGUACGGAACGAAAAGCCUUCUUCUAAUACAGGAGGGUCAUGACGGUACCGUAAGAAUAAGCACCGGCUAACUACGUGCCAGCCGCCGCCGUAA
rnacentral:rRNA from 1 species